CCAAGUCAGAGUAGAUACUUAGAGCUUUGAAAUUUCAACUUGCCGGUGAGGCGUGUGCGGUUGAGGUUUAAAUUGCCAGAGAAAGUGGUCAGUCUUGCUGUUGCUUCAACAAAUCCUCUCAAACGACCCCCCUUUGACUUGAGUAGGCGUAGUGGUCAAGUUGACUGGCUGGUGGCGAGACCGGCCUGUGGUUGAGGGGAUUAGAGGGAGCACGAGAGGGGCGCGCCCAUGUUCGCCCCCUGCUCGGGCUGGGGGUUCGGCCGCCUCCGGCUCAGCCAGCUCCGAGUUGGGGCCGGCAGAGCUGCGGGUAGCUGGGCGUGUUGGACUGGUUCGGCCCGAGAGUACGGCUCAGGUGGGGGCCAGCGCCAGCGCCAGCCUGGGUCCGAGCCCACAGUCUCUCGGCCGGGGCUUGCGCGCCAGGCUCUGAAGGAGUGGGUGCUGCUAGUGAGCCCGUUCGGUCGGCUGCGGGCGCGGCUUCCGUGCCAUUUGGCCGUGAGGCCCCUGGACCCCCUCACCUACCCCGACGGUGACCGCGUGCUGGUCGCGGUGAGAUCAGCGGAAGGCGGGGCGCGGGGCCUGGCCGGCUUGCAGGUGAAAUACGACGAGGCGCUGAAGGAGGUAACCAUCGUGUCUGACACCAUCGACCCCCAGGCGUCCGUGGAGGUGAACGCGCCCCUGAAGUUUGAUUUGAAUAUCAAGUCAUCAGGGUCUGGCUGUGUAAAAGUCCAAAAUAUUGAGUGUGAUAAUUGCAAAAUUGAAACUGAGCAGGGGACUGGCAUCUUACAGUCUGUUAAGAGUCAAAAAAUACAUGUUCAAACAAAAGGAGGCAAAGUGAUCUGUCUGGGAACAGUUUAUGGAAAUAUAAAUAUUCAUGCAUCAGAUAAAAGUACUGUGACCAUAGAUAAACUGCAGGGAAGUACAGUUAAUAUAUCUACUGAAGAUGGUUUGCUGGAAGCCAAGUAUCUUUAUACAGAAUCAUCAUUUCUGUCUUCUGCUGCUGGGGAUAUUACAUUAGGAAGUGUUCAUGGCAAUAUAACAUUACACAGCAACAUGGGCAACAUCACAGUAGAUUCAUCCUCUGGAUGUCUAAAGGCCUCAACUCAUCUGGGUGCAAUAGAUGUUUACGUCAGCCAACUAGGGAAAGUGGAGUUAAAAUCUCAUGAAGGCUCUAUUCUUGUCAAGGUCGCAUCUUCUCUUCAAGCUCGUUUAGAGUUAUCAGGGAAAGAGGUUGACGUGAACUCAGAACUCCACAUUCAAGAAAUGGCUGAAGCUCAUAAAGAUGAUGGUGUAAUAAUUACUGCCUGCAGAAAAGAACCAGACCUUCAAGAAUUGGUCAAGAAUUUUCAUUUUGAAGACUUUACAGGUAACUUCAUCAGGUUCAUACUUACAUGGAAAUAAGUCUGCAGUAUUGCAUCUUAAGAAUCCGGAGUUGUUUGCAGCCUAUCUGAAGGUCCUCGAGCAUUUGGUCAGUAAGCAGGACACAACCAGAAAUAUCCAAAAUGUGCAGAACUGAGGGAAGGACCUGGGCUGUUGGAUCACUGGAUGCCAUCAGGAUGACUCCAGAGCCAGCAUCCAUGAAUCCAGAAGCAAUGUUCCAGACUUGCAGUUUCCAGUCUGUCCUGAGAGUUUGGAACUUAUCACUUCUAUCCUCAAAAGAAGAAAAAAGACAAAAGACUGAAGCUGGAAGAAGUAAUUAAAACCAGAUCCUAAGUCAGUACAUCUGAGACUCCAGACACUUAAUCUGCAUGUGCUGCGGUUUCCAGUUAAACACUAAAAUGAGAUGGGUGGUCUCUUGAAAGUGUAUCAUCAGAUGAAGACAUUCAGCUGUAAGCACUCCUACUCCAGCUUGGAGAAUAGCUGAGAAAAUGUGGAUUGAAGAAGCCGUAAGUGUUUGGUUGAAAGGAAGGAAAUGCGGAUCCACACAGAGGAGAAAUCUCAUCAGUACUCAAGAAGAAACCCUUCAGUAAGGUUGGUUCCUCCUAAGCAACUAACGAACUCCAUUUGGGAAAAGACCUGUUAAAUGAACUAGCCAUGAGAACCCUCACUAGGAAAAAUAGCCCUUAAGUGUUCCCGUGAAUUCAUUUAAUCUUAUAAGGGACCAUGAUUCCAAUUAUCCUGACAGUCUCCUUGCCUUUCCGUAUAACCAGCCUGGGGUCAGUGCCCCUUAAUUGUGUUACCACAGAACUCUGUACUUCCCUGCACUUGGGCUCCUGCCUUUCAUGUUUAUUCUACUAACCAAUGAGCACCUUGAGGAGAGAGUCUCGCACAUUCUAAUAAUCAGUAUUUCUUAAACAACAUUUAACUGAAUGACUCAUUACCUUAUACAAUUUGCCAAAUUCAACACAGUUAGUUGCUUCAAAGGUGAAAGUGACUUAAGGCUACUAUCUGUUAAUCUCUUGCAGUCUGCCAUGUAAAUGUGACUGAUAUUUGGAUAAUUCUUAUCUAUAAAUUUGAAGCACACAUCAGUAAUCCUUUUAUUUCCUGUUUAAAAAAACCAGAAAACAAGUAUUGUAUUUGUAAUGCCACAAGAGUAAAAGUAAACAUUAAUGCUGAACCCCAUUUUUAAUAUCACAGACCUUCAAAUCGGAUCUUUCUGAGGUUACACGUAGAAAGAGCUUUAAAAGCACAAUCAGAGAUAUGUGGAGCGCCGAUGAAAACUAUUGAUGUAAUACGAGGGCACCUUUCAACUAAAGCCUUUAGAAGAAGAAAAGAUGAUAAAAUUUACCACAGUGUAUAGAACAAGCUUAGCAAAGUAAUGAGGUUAUUUGUUUUUCUCCAUACUUUCAGAAGCAGACAUAUUAACCAUUACAUUUUCCUAAUUUCAAAGACAAUGGGAUUUUUAUUCAAUAUAUUUUAGUACAUUCACAUUUGAGUACUGCAGAGAAAUCAGAAUUAAAUCAUGUUACAAAGGUAUGGGAAAACAUGAGAAAAUGAAAUGCUGACAAAAAAAUCACUACAUUUAGAAGUCUGACAUGUAGCACUAAAGUCAACAUUUAUGCUUAGGCUAUAGUAUCUUUGAGACAAAAAUAUUCCAAUUGUGAAACAAAGUGUAUUAGGGCAUGUAUGGAUUCAAAUGUUCAACUGUAUGUGCGUGUAUAAGUUUUAAGAUGAUUUUCUUACUCUAAAAACAGCUAACUUGAAAAUCCCAUUCAUAUUUCUCAACAAUUCAGGCCACUAGAAAAUGUGUGCAUUAAUUGGGACUGAGAAGAAAAUGUACUUUGCAACUACCUACUUUUAUACAGUUGUCCGUCAGAGUUGGCAUGUCGUUGAUGGUCAGAUGCAUAAUUCCAGUGCAGCUGUUUGCAAUGUUCCUGAAGCCUUGGACUGAAAUCUGAAUCGUACAAAGUAGGUGAAAAUGAUGGUAGAACUCAUUAGCAUGACAGCUAAUAAAACCCGAAUGAAGUCGUAAGCAAAGGUAUGUCAUGAUGUUGCUACUAUAUUUUAAAAUUGGAACCAUAAAAUAUGACAGACAUAAGAGGUAAAGAAUCUAGUCUUGAUUUCCUUACUAUUUAAUUUCUUAUAUGUAUAUUAUGCAAUGAUCAUCACAAUUGGUCUAGUUAACUUAUUGUUUAAUUGUUUUAUUGAGGCAAAAUUCACAUAACGUAAAAUUAAUCACUUAAAUGGGCCCUUAACCAUUCAUGAUCUUAUGCAACCACAACCUCUAUAUGGUUCCAAAAUAUUUUUAUCACCCUAAAAGGAAACUGAAUCUAUUAAGCAGUUGCUCCUUAUACUCCCCUUCUCCUAGCCCCCAGCAAUCAUUAUUCUGGGUUCUGUCUCUGUGGAUUUACCUAUUCUAAAUAUUUCACAGAAGUAGAAUCAUAUAGUAUAUGGCCUUUUGUGUCUUCUCUCUUUCACUUAGCGUAAUGUUUUUGAGGUUCAUCCAUGGUGUAGCAUGUAUCAGUACCUUAUUCAUUUUUAUGGCUGAAUAAUAUUCUAUUGAAUGAAUAUACGGCAUUUUGUUCAUCCAUCCAUCUAUUGAUGGAUAUUUGAGCUGUUUCCAUCUUUUGGAUAUUUUGAACAGUGCUGCUAUGAACAUAUAUGUGCAUCUAUUUGUUUGAGUACCAGUUUUCAAUUCUUUUGGGUAUAUAUGUAGGAGUGGAAUUGCUGGACCCUAUGGUAAUUCUGUUUAACUGUUUUAAGGAACCACCAAAAUGUUUUUUACAGUGAUUGCACCAUUUUACGUUCCAACCAGCAAUCUAAUAGUGUUCCCACUUCUCCACAUCUUUGCCAACAUUAUUUUUCAUUUUCCCAUGUUUUUAUUUUUUUUAAGUUUUUAUUUAUUUAUUUUGAGAGAGAGAGUGCACAAGUUAGGGAGGGGCAGAGAGAGAGAAUCCCAAGCAGACUCUGGGCUGUCAGUGCAGAGCCGACAUGGGGCUUGAACUCACAAACCGUGAGAUCAUGACCUGAGCCAAAAUCAAGAGUCAGAUGCUCAACCAACUGAGCCACGCAGGCACAAUGCAUGGCCACAUUUUUAUCCAUAUCAGCAUCUUUGAGAUUAUCCACCCUAUCUGGCACCACUAAGUGCCUGAACGAGGCAUAACGAAAAAGAAAGCUUUAAGAUUUUAUUGUUGCUUCACAUUGCUAAGUUAAAACAGAAACCCUCAAGCCCUUAAAGUUCUGAUCCAAAAUACUUAAUAAAGGAAUUUCAGUUUCUUAAAGUUAAAUAACUAAAUUAGGAGGGGAAACAUUCCAUUUUUAAAUGCAUGUGAAUGAGUAUUAUUUAACUUGUGUAGCUGUGUGAGAAAGUGUUUUCAGCCCUGUUAGAGUUCUCAUAGAGUGAAUGUGAUUGUACCAUGUUAUGGAAGUCACAGCUCAUAAGUGACUCCUCACAUGUGAUGACAUAUUACAAAAUGCCUGGAGGUGGGAAUAGCAGAAGAGACAGGCUAUCUCAUAAGGAUCUUGGACUUCUCUUAUAGACUGAGGUAGCCUCCAGGAGAUAAGGAAACAAAGUAUCAGGUUCCUUGAUCAGUUUUCUCCAGAUUAUAAAUUGACAGAACAAGAACACAGAUGUUCAAACUCUUAAUCCAAUGUUCCUUCUGAUGAACAUUCUUCAACAAUAACAUCCAUUUCAACUGUCCCACCCCACAUGCCAUAGUUCUUUAGACCUAGCUGCUCCAGCCAGAAAGACAUCUUACUUCUCCAGUACUCAGUGGACCUCUCUGUUCUUUGUCUGACCUUGUACCUCCCUUUGCCUCUUUCUCUUUUCAUCUAUUCAAGCCUUAACUAUGUCUCAAGUUCCAAUGACUCCAGCUACUUUCCUUCUCUUUCCCUUAUAAGCCUAAAACUCUUUAUUUUAGCCAUAACUCUUUCCUAUAACCUGCGUGUCUUAAUUCCCCCAAGGGGAUGAUCUUACACUCUUUUUUAACUUCUUACUGUGUUGGACAACUAUCUGUGGCUAAAUGAAUUAAAUUUAGGAGUAAGACAAAUAACGUCUAGGAAAGAGUACAGAAUUUGGCUACAGACAAAACCAAAAACAAUUCCAAGUCGAAGGUAAAGCACAAAAGUGAAAGGAAAGCAGGGGGAGCACUGGACUUGGAUGAAGUGGCAAGGUCACCCCUGGGAUGAAUAGGAAAAGGUAAGGAGGGAGGGAAAGCUAAUGGAAGACCCAUAAGGCAAGAGUGAGAUAUUUUGUAUUGUACUGUCAUGGAUUCUUGAAUAAGUUUCCAUAAGUAUUCCCACAGAAAGGUCCAGGGGAGAUGAAUGAACAUUAAAAAUCUGGAGAUCAGAGGAGGGAAGAAUGUUGGGCUUAGAAUCAGCAGAGCUGGGUUGGAAUCCGGCUCUGUUUCUUUGUCACUUGUAACACAAGGCAACUCAACCUCUCUGACACCUAGUCUUCCCAUCUGUAAAGUGGGCAUUAUCAUAUGGGUAUAUUAUUAAUAAUUCUAAUUAAUAUUGAUAUAAUAAUGGUAAUUGAUAAUGUAAUGGUUCAUUAAUUAUAAUUACUAAUAACAUCUGUUUUAGGAGAUACUUGGGAAAACAAAAUGGGGUAGUGUGUAUGUAAAAGUGGUCAGUUAGCACAAUGUCCGGCAUGAAAUACUAGAUACCAGUUUUCUUAUUAGUGUUCUUCUGGGUGCAUUGUGUUCCCACAGAGAAGUACAGAUUCGUGACCUAGAGAUAGAGGAGCUUGAGAGAUCAUUCUAGUGCAUCCCUCACAUUGCAAACAUAAAGAAAUAGUAUUCAGAGAAGUAGUGUGAUUUGAGAACAGGUUCUUUAUCUGUUCUUCAUGUCCCCAAUGUCCCCAGUGCUGGACAGUGUCAGACAGAGUGAGUGCUCCAUAAGUGCUGAAUGAAUGAAUGAAUGAAUGGUCUUGAGUCACAUCAUCUAUGGCAGAGUGAAGGCUAGAGGCCACCUCUCCCCAUCUGACCCACAAUUCCGGGGAUGGGAAUAGUUGGGUUUUUUUAAUAUGAAAUUUAUUGUCAAAUUGGUUUCCAUACAACACCCAGUGCUCAUCCCAACAGGUGCCCUCCUCAGUGCCCAUCACCCACCCUCCCCUCCCUCCCACCCCCAUCAGCUCUCAGUUUGUUCUCAGUUUUUAAGAGUCUCUUAUGGGAAUAGUUGUUUUUUACAACACUUCUAAAUUUCUCCCCUUUCUCUCAGCCCUGGUCUAUUACCCUAGCACUAUUAUUUCCAAUAAUGGCUUCCCCUAAAACACAAGAUAAAAAAAAUAAAAAAAUAAAAAAAACCUUUUCUCUCUUGCUGUCUUGGAAACAUAUUUAUGACAAGAUUUUCUGAACAAGGGAAAAAAUUAUAGCAGUAAUCAGCCACAGCUGAGUGAUUCCUUGCAGCACAGCCAAACGCUUGGUGCUAUCAACCAAUAAGACUGUGUCCAGAAAAGGGGUGGGGGAAACCUCUAAGAAGAGCUUUUUAGUUUUGUCCUGGCAUGAAAUGCUUAGUUCUCUACACAGUUUAUUUUAGAAUGUCCAAAAAGAUGCUUGGCUAAUACUUUAUGACUCAAAUAUUCUCGCCACAGUCUUUUAGGCCAACCAACUAUUAACUUGUCCUUUCUCUUCACUGAAAUAAUGGGAAUAUAAGCCUGAAAGUAACAAUCCCCCUCGAAGGGGAAAAAAAUAUUUUACCAUGUUAAAACACCAGGCUUUGCCACAGCUGAUACAUGUGUAUCGUGUGUUUAAUAUUCUUACAAAACUUGGGAUCUAAUCUCACUGUGUUUCCUUGCGAGGUGAUUUGGACUUCAGUUUUGAUACCAACUGGAGCCCUGCUACCCUGCUCUUUGCUGUCAAACCCCCGUUGGUUAGGAAAUUGGGGGAGCUGGCCACACCGAUGCCAUCAUAAUCGCAAGUCCCAGCAGACAGCUACUGCUGCUAAUGGGGGCAGAGAAGCUUUGGUGAUCAUAGGAAAUCCUCUCCAGCUGCCUCUGGGUGGGUCUGAACCCAUGAGCAGGACAGGACAGAGCUGUCUGAGGAGGAAAUGAGUUGUCAGUGAGCCACACGAAAUGAAGACCAAAGCGUUGAGCACCAAGGACUAGCUCACAUCCCGCUUUGCUGCUGCAAGGUGGUAAAAAGAAGGAAGGAACUUAUCUCAGGGAGAAUAACAUAUUACUAAGCUUCCACUUUCCACUUCUUUAAAACACUGAACCAGUUAGCUCAGCAACACAGAAAGGAGAUGUAUAUAGGGCCAGAGCCUCUACGACAGCUAGAAAUAUCCAUCUUAGGUAGACAUUGCCCAAGUUGUGUUCCUGUACCAUUUCCAGCUGUUUCUCUCAUUUGAACAACACUGUAACCCAUGACUAAUGGGUAAUGUAAUGACUUUAGUCAUAUCCAUAUAUCCUUCAUGACCUCCUGGUGACCUCAGAGAAGCCUGGCUUAGCAAGUAGAAUGAAUUUUUGGAGAGAAAGACAAAGAUUUUUCCCCAAAACAUGGAACACUUUGUUUUAUUCCAUUCAAAUGUGCCACAAACUUCUAAAAUAGCAACAGUUCCCAGGGUCUGUGCUAAAAGGGCCUGACAGGCUUUUAUAUAUUGUGUCCUCUGUGAUGACAAGAAGAGAGGCCUCGUUAUAACUGCUUAGAUGAUGCUUUACUUUCCAGUCUAUAUAUUCUUCAUGGCUAUCCCCUCCUCUAUGUUUGCUAAUGUGCUUCUCCUAGGUAGCCCUCCCUGACCACUUCAGGUAGAACUGUUUCUUCCUCUUGGAUCUCAGAGCACCGAACAGUAUAGCCUUAAAUUUGAAUUUCGUAUCCUCUCCCUUGUAUAAUAAUUAUGUGUACACAUGUUUACCAUUCCUGCCCAGGAACACAGACAGAAUUUUCUCCACCAUGCCCUUCACAGUACCACACAAGUGCUUGGCACUGAGUAUGAUACUACAACUGUUAGUAGACCAAGUCGUUGUUGAAUAAACUGUUGUAGAAUGUAAAUGAGAAUUAAUAGUUCUAAGGCGGGGGAAGGGUAAUAAUCAAUAUGGUCAUUUGUUAAAGAUUGCUGUAUUUAUCUAAAAACAUUGAAAUGCCAAACAUAAAAAAGAAAGUUUCAUUUUCCGACGUGAGUGGGGAAUUAGAAUACAAGAUUAGUGAAGCCUCCAGAUGCCAGGAAGGCAUGCAUGCCAACUCCGUGCACUCACUGCACAAUGACUGUGAGCUGUGACCUGCCGAAGUAGGCUUGACCCUUCUUACACUUCAUCAUUCUUGUUUAGCGUACACCAUCUUCUUCUUUUCCUCACCCAAUGGCCAAAUUGCUCACAGCAACUCCUGUACGAUAAAUGGAGCUUCAUCUCCCUUUUAACCAAGAGAAUCACAACCAUAAUACUUUUUAUUACAACACAAUGAUCCACAGAGCUACUUGAUUUGUCUAGACUUAUUGAGCUAGAUGGUGGUUUUAUAGCUACCAUUGUAACCAUAGGCUUCACUGGGGGCCCAAGACCCAAGUAGAGUUUUGUGAAGAGUUGAUGAAAUUCUGUAUGUAAGUCACAUCCUAAGAGAGGGAGCAGAGAAGAAACUGAAAGAAGGAUGGUUUUUCAGAAAGCCCUAAAGUUUUUUCCAAACCUUUUUUUAGGAGUGCGAAACAUGAUCUUAGUCCCCUAAGGCUCAUCAUUUUGUCAUCUGAUUCUUCAAGAUCUAAAAAUUGUUGCCAGAUGUUUCAUUUGUUACUGCUUAAUGUAAUAAACAUCCUUAUACAUUUUGCCUACAAAGAGAUUGCAUUAAGCUAUGGACGUUAACAGUAGAUGUUUGUUAUAUUUCUUUAUUUUUUAUUUUCAAUAUGGCUAACAUAAAGUUAUAUUCAAACUCGUAACAACCAUUUAAAUUUAGAUGAGCCCUGUCUACAAGAUAUGUAAAAUGAUUUUCCUGUUCAACACAGUUCAAAGUAUAAUUCAGAAAGGUCAUAAAGCAUUCCUUUAACAGGGAAACUGAGGCACAAGACCUGACUGAGAAAAGCAGAAAUUGCACUGUGGUUUUUCUGAUUCAUGACUGAUUUUCCACUAGAACCCCUUCAUAUUAAUGACAUUUAAGACCACAAAAUAUUUUUUUCAAAUAGAAAAAAAGUGCAACUUUUUUUUUCUUUUUUACUGUAUGCAGUAUAUAGCACUUCACAGUUUUACAAAUGAUAGUCUAGUUGUAUAGAGCCUGGUAUUCAGGAUUAGUCAGAUCAAGGUUAUCAUUUUGGCCCGGACACUUUUUGUGUGACCUUAGGCAAGUUACUUUAUCUUAGCACCAUUUUCAAUAGUGUGUGGGGCCAGUUUAUACUAGUUUGCAAGUGCAAGUUGUUAAAUUUGUAGGAACUCUGCAAGCCUAUUGUUAAAGACAGUCAUAUUAAAAAUUAAGUCAUAUAAACUUAAAAUUAAAAUUAAAUAAGUUCUAUUAACAAAGGUAGUGAAUAUUCCAAUUCAUCAAUUCCUAAUUAUGUUAUUACAUGUUACCAUUUCGUAUGCUCUUGAGGAUAUUUGUGUGUGUUGGAUGUAUACAGCGAAAGCAUUACAUAACAGUUACAUAACAUUACAUAACUCUUUCUUCAGUGACUUCUCAUUGGCAAGUUGAAAUAGGUCAUGGUGAGAGUAUUUACACCAUGGAAAUCAGCAACCAUUGCAAAUCAGGGCUUUCUCUGCUUCCUGCCAGUUGUUAAAUGUUUACCAGCACAUGAUUUUUCAGUUUUCACAUCUCUAAAAUGGGAAUAAUGAUACCUACCUCAUACAGUUAUGUAUAAAGAUUAAAUCAGAUAAUAAAUGUAAAACACUUACCUCAACACCUAGCACCAAGUCGGUACCCAAACAAAUGAUAGCAAUUAUUAUCACCAUCCAUUAAAAUACAGAAUAAGGGAAAAUGGAAUCAAACAAAUGUAAAUGAAUCAUAAUUUUGAAUUAACUGUUGACAAUUCAUUUUGGUACAUAGUCUGCUUAUUCAUUACUGGUUUAGCUGGUCACACAACUCUUAUUGUUCCAAUUGCCCCUUAUUGGUAACCUAGCAAAUCUGUACCUCCACUCUCAGCUCUGUGCCAAGGACCAGACUUCUAUACAGAAACACAAAAUUCUCAAGCUGAAAAGGAUCUCAGAGAUCAUCCAGCCCAAACUAGCCAUUCUACAGAUAAAGGAACUGAGGCAGAAAAGCUAAGUAACCUAUCAGAGUUGCACAAGAGGGUAGUGGCACAGCAAGGACUAGAUCCCAGGUGUCCCAAGUCCAGCUUGGGGCUCCUUUCACCAUCCCACUGCCUUCUGCUGCAGGAGAGAGAGAAAGAAAGAGAAAUCCCUUUCCACUCUUACUUUGCUUAUGCAAUCUCCUUUCCAUUUGGCCAGUACAUUCAUUCCUGGACAUGCCUCUGUGUCUUUCUCCCACCUCCACCACAAUCCCCAGAGGUGAACAAGUAAAACCUUCCAUGAUCUUUGCCUUUCUAGAAGGGGAGUCUGUAAUUUAUGUAGCCUAGAGAGAACUGAAAUGACCUUGGAAUCUUCCUGUUUGCAGUUUGCACAGCCUACCUUUAAGAUCCAUGGGUCCCAGAGAGACUUAACAGUACAAGAACUACUGAUAAACCAUUAUUAUUGUGUUGAGUCAUUUGAACAUUUCUGGGAUGCUGUCCCUUUUCAUUUUUGUUGACUUGGGUGUAGUGACUAAAAAAUAAUUGAUGAAAAAAUACUUUCACUGUAGUAUUUCAUAUUUUCCUAAGCUCUUUUCUUCCCCUAAAUCUAAAGCAAUGUGAAAUUCCCCCCUUACCAAGAAAAGACUAUCAGACUUUGCUCUGGCAAGUUGCUAACUUCUCAGCUUCCUAACAGACUUCUUGAGCUUCCACCUGAAGCAUCUGGCUGGCCACACCCUGAAAUUGGCUGCCAUUUAUUUCGUUCAUUCAUUCACUUGUUCAUUAAACGUUGAUCAAAGUCCUACUCCUACUACAUGCAAGGUACUUACUGUAUUAUGUGCUGAGGAUAACAAAUACACAGAUAAAUAAGGCACCAUCCUGGCCAUCAAGGAGGCCAUGAUGGGGAGGACAGCAGACAAAUAAGCAAACCACUGAAUAUGUAGAGAAUGCUUAGUGAAAGUACAAUAAUAAAAGAACAAACAGGAAGGAUCAUAACCUAGCUUGAGUUGGGGGAAAAGGAGGGGGUCAGUGAGAGCUUCCUAGAGAAAGAAGGUUGUGAUUGAACAAAGCCUCAAAGGAUGCAUAAAAGCUAAUCUGGUGAAUGGGAGAAAGGGACAAUAUGAGGAUCACUCUAGAUGCUGGGUUGAGAGUAGACUUGUAGGAGGCAGAAGUGAAAGCAGAGAGACCAAUUAGGAAGUCGUCAUAAUCAGUGCCAAAAUGGCCAGUGCCAGACACCCCAAGGCAAGAGCUCAUGUGUUGAAAGAACAGAAAGGAAACCAGUGUGCCCGGAACAGACUUGGUAAGUGGCAGACCAGUAGGAAUUAAUGCCAGAAGGGCAGUUGGGGGAGAAGACAGAUUACAUAGGGUCUUGAAGUUCCUUCCAAGGUUUUUCUUUUAAUGAGUGGGUAGGAUGCCUCACCAGGUGUUUGAGAAGAGGAAGGACAUUGACUUGGGCAGAGGGUACAAGGUGAGCCUAAUAAAACAACUGAGGCUGGAAGUGAAGAACAGGGGAGGCACAGAGGCAAAAGCUUCUAUUGCAAGCUCUCUUAUUCUUUUGUUUAACUCUCAUAUCUGAAAAUAUAAAUCUGAAUCUUGGCCUUCACCUGGCUCUGUCUCUCACUCUAUGUUCAGGGUUGUUGGUUUCUGGGCAUUUGGGUUUCAGGCUGAGAUUGGCUACAACCCUAGCCUUCCUUCCCAGCAUAGCUGUCGUUGUUCUGUGCUUGGCUUCCUACACAGUGUCAUAACCCAUGGCUACAUGCAUUUGGGGAUACAUAAAUCAGUAGGAGAAGUGGCCACCCAAAGAUAAUACCAACAGGAGAAUCCUUGGAUUUACAAACAGACAAAGGAUAAAGGGAAAGCAUAACCAGCAAUCACUGCCCUUCUCAUAGGGACUUUCUCAUGUAAAACUAGGAAAGCUUUGUCUUCUCCAUUAAAAUUUUUCAUCCUACCCAUAUUUUCUAUUUUGAGAUUUUCAAAGAAACAAGAACUUUUGGAGAGUACUGAAAUUAACAGGGAGUGAUGUAGAUAUCUUAAGAGCAUUUUAGCUGAUACCUUUUUAUCUACUCAUUCAUCAUGGGGGCAUGUGAGGAAACUCUCAAAGGAGGGGAGGAAGUUAGCCAUACAGAUAGCUGCAGAAGGACUAUUCCAGGCAAGGAAAAUGGCCAGUGUCCAGUAGCAAAUACCCUGACGCAAGAGCUCAUGUGUUGAAAGAACAGCAAGGAAACCAGUGUGACUAGAAUAGACUUGGUAAGUGGGAGAGCAGUAGGAAUUAAUGCCUGAAGGGCAGUUGGGGGAGAAGACAGAUUACAUAGGGUCUUAAAAGUCCUUCCAAGAUGUUUCUUUUAUUGAAUGAAUAGGAUGCCUCGCCAGGUAUUUGAGAAGAGGAAGGACAUUGACUUGGGUUUGAAAAGCCACACUCUAGAUACUGGGUGAGGGGCGCCUGAGUUGCUCAGUCGGUUGGGUGUCUGACUUCAGCUUAGGUCACGAUCUCGCAGUCCGUGAGUUCGAGCCCCGUGUUGGGCUCUGGGCUGAUAGCUCAGAGCCUGGAGCCUGCUUCCGAUUCUGUGUCUCCCUCUCUCUCUGCCCCUCCCCCGUUCAUGCUCUGUCUCUCUCUGUCUCAAAAAUAAAUAAACGUUAAAAAAAUUUUAAAUAGAUACUGGGUGAAAGAAGACUUGCAGGGGGGCAGGAGUGAAAGCAGAGACACCAAUUAGGAGGUCGUCACAAUAAUGCAAGCAAGAGAGGAUGGUGACCUGGGCUGGGGUGGCAGCUGUGGAGGGAGCAAGGAGUGGUCAGAUCCUAGGUGGUUCUGAAGUAACAGUCACUGGACUUCCUGACAGAAUGCAUGUGGGGGUGAGAGAGAAGAGUCCAAGAUAACACACUAGUUUGCUGGGUCUGCUUUAACAGAGCACCACAAACGCAGGGGCUUAAACAACAGAAAUGUGUUGUCCUACAGUUCUGGAGACUAAAAUCUCAAGAUCAAGGUGUCCACAGGGUUGGUUCUUUCUGAGGUUGCUGCCUUUAAUAUGAGGGAAGGAUAUGGUCCAGGUCUCUCCUCAUGGCUUGCAGAUGGCUAUCUUCAUGUUAACAUGGCACUCUCUUGUAUGCAGGUGUCUGUGUCUAAAUGUCC